GACGUAGGAUGCAAGCGUUGUCCGGAAUUAUUGGGCGUAAAGAGUUCGUAGGCGGUUACUUAAGUCUGGUGUUAAAGACGGGAGCUCAACUCCCGCAUGGCAUCGGAAACUGGGUGGCUAGAGUGCGGUAGAGGUCUCGGGAAUUCCAGGUGUAGCGGUGAAAUGCGUAGAUAUGACACAGAACACCGAUUGCGAAGGCAGCUAACUAAGCCAUAACUGACGCUGAUGCACGAAAGCGUGGGGAGCAAACAGG
rnacentral:rRNA from 1 species